rnacentral:rRNA from 1 species
UACGAAAGGUGCAAGCGUUACUCGGAAUCACUGGGCGUAAAGCGCACGUAGGCGGACUCGUAGGUCAAUUGUGAAAUACCUGGGCUCAACCCAGGAACUGCAGUUGAAACCACUUGUCUUGAAUACCUGAGAGGGUGGGGGAAUACCUGGUGGAGAAGUGAAAUUCGUAGAGAUCAGGUGGAACACCGGAGGCGAAGGCGCCUGCCUGGCAGUGUAUUGACGCUGAGGUGCGAAAGUGCGGGGAGCAAACGGG